GAUGAACGCUGGCGGCGUGCUUAACACAUGCAAGUCGAACGGAAAGGCCCAAGCUUGCUUGGGUACUCGAGCGGCGAACGGGUGAGUAACACGUGGGUGAUCUGCCCUGCACUUCGGGAUAAGCCUGGGAAACUGGGUCUAAUACCGGAUAGGACCACAUUUUGGAUGGUGUGGUGGAAAGUUUUUCGGUGUGGGAUGAGCUCGCGGCCUAUCAGCUUGUUGGUGGGGUAAUGGCCUACCAAGGCGUCGACGGGUAGCCGGCCUGAGAGGGUGUACGGCCACAUUGGGACUGAGAUACGGCCCAGACUCCUACGGGAGGCAGCAGUGGGGAAUAUUGCACAAUGGGCGCAAGCCUGAUGCAGCGACGCCGCGUGGGGGAUGACGGCCUUCGGGUUGUAAACUCCUUUCGCUAGGGACGAAGCGUUAUGUGACGGUACCUGGAGAAGAAGCACCGGCUAACUACGUG
rnacentral:rRNA from 1 species